rnacentral:rRNA from 1 species
UACGUAGGCAGCGAGCGUUGUUCGGAAUUACUGGGCGUAAAGAGUGUGUAGGCGGUGCUCUAAGUUCGGUGUGAAAUCUCCCGGCUUAACUGGGAGGGUGCGCCGGAAACUGGAGUGCUCGAGCGUGGGAGAGGAAAGCGGAAUUCCUGGUGUAGCGGUGAAAUGCGUAGAUAUCAGGAGGAACACCUGCGGUGUAGGCGGCGUUCUGGACCAUUGCUGACGCUGAGACACGAAAGCGUGGGUAGCAAACAGG